CCUACGGGUGGCAGCAGUGGGGAAUAUUGGGCAAUGGAGGCAACUCUGAACCAGCAAUGCCGCGUGAGGGAUGAAGGUCAUUUUAUUGUAAAGCUCUUUUCUUUGGAACGAAUAAAUGACGGUACCAAAGGACUCAGCCCCGGCUAACUACGGGCCAGCAGCCGCGGUGAUACGUAGGGGGCAAGCGUUGUUCGGAAUGACUGGGCGUAAAGGGUGUGUAGGGGGUUGGAUAAGUUAGAUGUGUAAUACCCAGGGCUUAACUCGGGUGCUGCAUCUAAAACUGUUAGACUUGAGUACGGGAGAGGAUAGUGGAAUGCGUAGUGUAGCGGUGGAAUGCGUAGAUAUUAGGAGGAACACCAGUGGCGAAGGCGACUAGCUGGAGAGCAACUGACACUGAGGCACGAAAGCGUGGGGAGCGAACAGGAUUAGAUACCCUGGUAGUC
rnacentral:rRNA from 1 species